GACGAACGCUGGCGGCGUGCUUAACACAUGCAAGUCGAACGGAAAGGCCCUGCUUUUGUGGGGUGCUCGAGUGGCGAACGGGUGAGUAACACGUGAGUAACCUGCCCUUGACUUUGGGAUAACUUCAGGAAACUGGGGCUAAUACCGGAUCGGAGCUCCUGCUGCAUGGUGGGGGUUGGAAAGUUUCGGCGGUUGGGGAUGGACUCGCGGCUUAUCAGCUUGUUGGUGGGGUAGUGGCUUACCAAGGCUUUGACGGGUAGCCGGCCUGAGAGGGUGACCGGCCACAUUGGGACUGAGAUACGGCCCAGUCUCCUACGGGAGGCAGCAGUGGGGAAUAUUGCACAAUGGUCGGAAGCCUGAUGCAGCAACGCCGCGUGCGGGAUGACGGCCUUCGGGUUGUAAACCGCUUUCGCCUGUGACGAAGCGUGAGUGACGGUAAUGGGUAAAGAAGCACCGGCUAACUACGUG
rnacentral:rRNA from 1 species